CAAAACAUCGCUUAUUGAUAAUAAUUUUAAGUCAAUCUGCCCAAUGAAUAAUUUAAAUGGCUGCAGUAUAAAUAACUGUACAAAGGUAGCAUAAUCAAUUGAUUUUUAAAUGAAAUCUGGAAUAAAAGAAUUAAUGAAAUAUAUACUGUCUCAUAUAUAUAAUAUAAACUUAAAAUUUUAAUAAAAAUGUUAAAAUUUAUUUAUGGGACGAUAAGACCCUAUAGAAUUUUAUAUUAAAUUAUUUUUAUAAAUAUAAAAUAUAAAAUUUAAAUUAAUAUUUAAUUGGGAGAAUUAUUAAAUUUAAAAAAUUUUAAUUUUAAUAAACUUUAAUUAAAGAAAAUAUAUUGAUCUUUAAAUUAAAAUUAAUAGAAUAAAUUACCUUAGGGAUAACAGCGUUAUAUUUUUUUAUAGAUCACAUAGAAAAAAAUGAUUGCGACCUCGAUGUUGAAUUAAGAUAAAUUUUAAAUGUAGAAAUUUAAUAAUUAAGUCUGUUCGACUUUUAAAAUCUUACAUGAUUUGAGUUCAAAUCGACGUAAGU
rnacentral:rRNA from 1 species